CAUUUGGGCAACAAGCCUACGUUCUCUUACCUGAAGCUCAGAGAACAAAGCAAAGUAAAGUAUCUCUUUGUCAUUUUCUGGGGUAUUCAACAAAGGGUUUCCAUUUUAUAGACAAAAAUGGCAAAAUAAUCAUUUCCAGAAGUGCCAGUUUCCUAGAGCAUGAGAACUGGGACAGAUUACAUUCUAACAAGGAAAUUUUUCUGAAGCCAAUGCAGAAAGAAAGGGCAGAAGAGGAUGAUUCUUUUCAGAGCUCAGAUCCUUCUCCCUCAAUGUCUCAGCUUAAACUGAAACAUGAUACCUCACAGAGNAAAGAGGAAGGCGUGACUAGUCAUUCAAGCCAGUCAGGGCAGACUGUCAUUUCUCAACACGCUGUACCUAAGAGUGAGAAGCAAGACUUUCCAGUCAGAGAAGGGGGGCGAAUUUUGCCCACAGCUCAAGCUGAAAACCAAGAUGGCAAUUUUUCUGAAGUUGAGCAAACUUCACAGAGAAUCUCUACGAGAUCUACAAAAGGAAUUCCACCAGAUAGAUAUGGAUUUACUCAGUUAGCUGAAGAAUUAACAAAUAAUAUUCUAAAUUCCUACCAGGAUGUUCUGCAAUUACCUCAAAAUGAACAGAAACUCUGGAUUGAAGCAAUGAAUAGAGAAUUUUCUGUACUUCAGAGCCAGAAAGUAUUUACUGAGGCUACCUUACCUCACAAUGAGAAGGCAAUUACAGCCAAAUGGAUUUUUAGAAAGAAACUUUCUCCUGAGGGAAAAUUAAUUUUUAAAGCGAGAUUGGUAGCGCAAGGAUUUAAGCAACCUUUAAAUGAAGAUGAAAUGAAUUACUCACNAACUGCAAGAUCUCANAGCCUUGUUACUUUACUUACAGUAGCUGCCAAGAACAAUUUUGUUUGUAAACAUUUUGAUUUUGAAUGUGCAUAUCUGAAUGCCAAGCUUGAUGAGCAAAUCUUUUUGAACCCUCCACCAGGUUUUGAAAAGCAAAAUAAAAACACUGUUUAUCGUCUCCACAAAGCCCUGUACGGACUUCGAUGCUCCGCCCGCCAGUGGAACUUAUGUUUACAUGAAGUUUUAACAAAAAUGAAUUUUAAGCGUUCUGCUGCAGAUGCUUGUGUGUACACAAGGGGAAAACAUGACAAAAAGAUUUUCAUUUGUCUUUUUGAAGAAGAUUUGAUUUUCAGUGCCAAAACAACUUCUAUAAUUGAUCAGAUUUCAUCAGAAUUG
rnacentral:lncRNA from 1 species